rnacentral:rRNA from 1 species
UAAAUCAGUUAUCGUCUAUUUGAUAGUACCUUACUACUUGGAUAACCGUGGUAAUUCUAGAGCUAAUACAUGCUGAAAACCCCGACUUCGGAAGGGAUGUAUUUAUUAGAUUAAAAACCAAUGCCCUCCGGGGCUCCCUGGUGAUUCAUGAUAACUUCUCGAAUCGCACGGCCUUGCGCCGGCGAUGGUUCAUUCAAAUUUCUGCCCUAUCAACUUUCGACGGCUGGGUCUUGGCCAGCCAUGGUGACAACGGGUAACGGAGGGUUAGGGCUCGACCCCGGAGAAGGAGCCUGAGAAACGGCUACUACAUCUAAGGAAGGCAGCAGGCGCGCAAAUUACCCAAUCCCGACGCGGGGAGGUAGUGACAAUAAAUACUGAUACAGGGCUCUUUAGGGUCGUGUAAUUGGAAUGAGUACAGUUUAAUUCCCUUAACGAGGAACAAUUGGAGGGCAAGUCUGGUGCCAGCAGCCGCGGUAAUUCCAGCUCCAAUAGCGUAUAUUAAAGUUGUUGCAGUUAAAAAGCUCGUAGUUGAACCUUGGGCCUGGCUGGCCGGUCCGCCUCACCGCGUGCACUGGUCCGGCCGGGCCUUUCCCUCUGGGGAGCCGCAUGCCCUUCACUGGGCGUGCCGGGGAACCAGGACGUUUACUUUGAAAAAAUUAGAGUGUUCAAAGCAGGCUUAUGCUCGGAUACAUUAGCAUGGAAUAAUGGAAUAGGACGUGCGGUUCUAUUUUGUUGGUUUCUAGGACCGCCGUAAUGAUUAAUAGGGACAGUCGGGGGCAUCAGUAUUCAAUUGUCAGAGGUGAAAUUCUUGGAUUUAUUGAAGACUAACUACUGCGAAAGCAUUUGCCAAGGAUGUUUUCAUUAAUCAGGAACGAAAGUUAGGGGAUCGAAGACGAUCAGAUACCGUCGUAGUCUUAACCAUAAACUAUGCCGACUAGGGAUCGGACGCUGUUGUCUUUUGACGCGUUCGGC